UCCGAGUUGACCCCGGCAGUCUCCCAAGAGUCCCCGGCAUUACCCGUUGGCAACAUGGGACAGGGGUUGCGCUCGUUGCGGGACUUAACCCAACAUCUCACGACACGAGCUGAGGACAGCCAUGCACCACCUGUACACGACCCAAUAAAGGACCCCACAUCUCUGCAGGAUUUCCGUGUAUGUCAAACCCAGGUAAGGUUCUUCGCGUUGCAUCGAAUUAAUCCGCAUGCUCCGCCGCUUGUGCGGGCCCCCGUCAAUUCCUUUGAGUUUCAGCCUUGCGGCCGUACUCCCCGGGCGGGAGACUUAACGCGUUAGCUCCGACACCGAAGGGCUCGAUCCCCCCGGCAUCUAGUCUCCAUCGUUUACGGCGUGGACUAC
rnacentral:misc_RNA from 1 species